rnacentral:rRNA from 1 species
AUACGGGGGAUUCAAGCGUUAUCCGGACUUAUUGGGUUUAAAGGGUGCGUAGGCUGAUAAAUCAGUCAGCGGUGAAAUUUACGGGCUUAACUUGUAGCUUGCCGUUGAAACUAUUUAUCUAGAGAUAUUUCGGCGUAUGCGGAAUGUAUCAAGUAGCGGUGAAAUGCAUAGAUAUGCUACAGAACACCAAUCGCGAAGGCAGCAUACGAGGCAUCAUCUGACGCUGAUGCACGAAGGCGUGGGGAUCAAACAGGAUUAGAUACCCUGGUAGUCCACGCAGUAAACGAUGAUUACUAGCUGUUUGCGAUACAAUGUAAGCGGCUGAGCGAAAGCGUUAAGUAAUCCACCUGGGGAGUACGUUCGCAAGAAUGAAACUUAAAGGAAUUGACGGGG